rnacentral:rRNA from 1 species
AUUGAACGCUGGCGGCAUGCCUUACACAUGCAAGUCGAACGGUAGGGGGGCAACCCCUGAGAGUGGCGAACGGGUGAGUAAUGCAUCGGAACGUGCCCAGUUGUGGGGGAUAACGUAGCGAAAGCUACGCUAAUACCGCAUACGGCCUGAGGGUGAAAGGGGGGGAUCGCAAGACCUCUCGCAAUUGGAGCGGCCGAUGUCAGAUUAGACUAGUUGGUGGGGUAAAAGCCUACCAAGGCGACGAUCUGUAGCUGGUCUGAGAGGACGACCAGCCACACUGGGACUUAGACACGGCCGAGACUCCGACGUGGGGCAGCAGUGGGGAAUUUUGGACAAUGGACGCAAGUCCGAUCCAGCCAUGCCGCGUGCAGGAAGAAGGCCUUCGGGUUGUAAACUGCUUUUGUCAGGGAAGAAAUCCCUUGGGAUAAUACCUCGGGGGGAUGACGGUACCUGAAGAAUAAGCACCGGCUAACUACGUGCCAGCCGCCGCGGUAAUAC